rnacentral:lncRNA from 1 species
AUGUGUUUUGUGAUGAAUCGACUCAGUAGAUAGAUGCGGUUAUUUCAAAUUAUGUUGAAAGUUUUGUGAUAUUUGAAUUUGUAUUUUUGGUGAUGAUAGUUAGGUUAAUUUCAGAUAUGACAUAGUGAAAGGAUAAAUUGUUUUUGUAGUUUUGAUUUUACUUUAUUCUGUUAUAUUUUGAUCUUUUCCUUCAUUUUUGGGACUGAUAAGUGUCAUGGUUGUGUGAUAAUUAUGAUAUUUAGGUCAUUUAGAUAUGGAAUAGUGAAAAGAUAGAUUGUUAUGUAUUUUUGAUUUUAGUUUGUUCUGUGGGAUGCUCGAUGAGCAGAUCUAGGGUUUCAUGAGAUGUAUCACGAGCUUUAUCUGGCAAGGGAUCCACAGAUUUGAACAAGGGAUCCGUUUGAUGUGGAUUUGUUAGUAGAUGCGGUUAUUUCCUACAUCCGAUGUUUUAGUUAGGAUUUACCUUUUUAAUUUUUUUUAUGUUUACUUGUUUGUUUAUAUGUCACAUGCAGAUUAGUAAGACAAAGGUGUUUCUAAGGGCCGGACAGAUGGCAGAGUUUGAUGGUUGUCGGACUAAGGUCCUAAGUUAUACGACCUAGAUGGCUUGGAUAAGCUGAGCCUGUGAGGGUAUGAUGCAUAAGCUGAGCCUAUGAGGCUAUGAUGCAUAAGCUGAGCCUGUCGACUCUAUGAUGCAUAAGCUGAGCUUGUGUUCUUAAUAUGUCUGAACUGAAACUGUUAAGGCUAUGAUGCAUAAGCU